AUACACUCUCAAUCUCUCAGUGUUAAUUUAUUUAAGUGGGGAGUGAUGACGGUCACAUCCCUUGUGACACUCUAAGUCUCUCUGGCUCCACUCAUACAGCGCUUUCAGAUCCUGGAUUUAUUCCCCAAGUCCCCUGUCCAAGACUCUGGUACACAGGCGGAGGAAAUCUAGAUACAUCUUCACAAUCUUCUUAAAUUUAUCCUGACAGGUGCUUCUUUUCUUCCUUGCUGCCAGAAGAAGACAGUACAUGUGCUGAGCAUACCCUGGACACUGAUUAGCUAAGUAGUGGCUAUCAAAAGUGACGGAUGAUUUCUGCUGUCUUGCCUCCGACAAACCCGUGCCUCAGUUUUCCAGGCAGAGCAUCAACAACCCGACUUCCCCCUGUGGCUUCCGAGUCCCUGCUCCAGUGUCUCCAACAAGGGAACAUAAUCCCAAGAGGCCACUUCUUCCUCACCCCGCGUUAGAG